rnacentral:rRNA from 1 species
UACGAAGGGGGCUAGCGUUGCUCGGAAUUACUGGGCGUAAAGCGCACGUAGGCGGCUUCUUAAGUCGGUGGUGAAAUCCUGGAGCUCAACUCCAGAACUGCCUUCGAUACUGGGAGCUCGAGUCCGGGAGAGGUGAGUGGAACUGCGAGUGUAGAGGUGAAAUUCGUAGAUAUUGCAAGAACACCAGUGGCGAAGGCGGCUCACUGGCCCGGUACUGACGCUGAGGUGCGAAAGCGUGGGGAGCAAACAGG